rnacentral:rRNA from 1 species
AUUCCAGCUCCAAUAGCGUAUAUUAAAGUUGUUGCAGUUAAAACGCUCGUAGUCGGAUUUCGGGGCGGGCCGACCGGUCUGCCGAUGGGUAUGCACUGGCCGGCGCGUCCUUCCACCCGGAGACCGCGCCUACUCUUAACUGAGCGGGCGCGGGAGACGGGUCUUUUACUUUGAAAAAAUCAGAGUGUUUCAAGCAGGCAGUCGCUCUUGCAUGGAUUAGCAUGGGAUAAUGAAAUAGGACUCUGGUGCUAUUUUGUUGGUUUCGAACACCGGAGUAAUGAUUAAUAGGGACAGUUGGGGGUAUUCGUAUUUCAUUGUCAGAGGUGAAAUUCUUGGAUUUAUGAAAGACGAACUUCUGCGAAAGCAUUUGCCAAGGAUGUUUUCAUUG